ACCCACACAAAGUGUGUGAUCACAAUUGUAUGUUUAUAUUUAAUAUCAUUUUAUAUUACCUGUUUAACAAUGGACAGCAGGGGGCAGUAGAUGGCAGAGUAACACUGCCGUAAAGGGGUUUGUUAUUAUUUACGCGUCUACCGUAACAUGUCUGACGUGAUGACGGAGCUGUCGUUAGCUUGCCAUUCUGGCAAGAUCCGCCAAACGAGCAGUAAAAGGAAUUCUCUGCUCAUAAUUUCUCGUGUUUUACAGGAAAUACUAUCUGUCAUCGCGCCCUGCAUAGCGGGGCCUGUUACAUAUGCACCCCCGGGAACUUGGUGCUGUCUGUAGUCUUCACUGCUGUGCCGUUGAUGUGGAGUGAUCGAGGGUUGGCUGAGGAGUGUGAUGUUAAGGCACCAGAUGAACCUGUUAUGUCUGGUAGGCUGAGGAAUUCGGAGUCGUUAUGCCAAUUGGAUCGCUUGUUGAGUCACUUACCGGCAGCACAGAGAGAUGAAUUGGCGGCUUUAAUCGGGAAGUUUGUGGUACUGUUCGGCGAUACGCCAUCGCGCACAACUCUCGUGGAGCAUGAUAUCGACGUGGGGGACAGUCCUCCAAUUAAGCAGCGAUUUUAUCGUUGUAGGGUGCUGGAGGCUGAGGUCCAGUACAUGUUGGACAAUCAGAUUGCAGUACAGUCGUUCUCCAGUUGGGCGUCUGCUGGUUGGCAAAUCAGAUGGGUCUCCGCGGUUUUGUAACGACUAUCGUAAGGUUAAUAAGGUGACAAACAGAUUCUUACCCGUUGCCACGGAUGGAGGACUGUAUUGACUUGGUGGGCUCUGCUAGAUUCGUCAGUAAAUUCGACUUGUUAAAGGGGUACUGGCAAGUUCCUUUGACAUGUUAACUGUGUUCUUAUUCUCAGCGUCCAGGAAAGACCAAUUGUUAACUGUGUUCUUAUUCUCAGCGUCCAGGAAAGAGAAGCUUAAAAAGGAGACUAAAUGGAGU